rnacentral:misc_RNA from 1 species
AACCAUAGAAACCUGCGGAGUACCUGCGGAGGGAUCAUUACAGAGUUAUCCAACUCCCAAACCCAUGUGAACUUAUCUCUUCGUUGCCUCGGCGCAAGCUACCCGGGACCCAGCGCCCCGGGCGGCCCGCCGGCGGACAAACCAAAACUCUUGUUAUCUUAGUUGAUUAUCUGAGCGUCUUAUUUAAUAAGUCAAAACUUUUAACAACGGAUCU